rnacentral:rRNA from 1 species
AUACGUAGGGGGCGAGCGUUGUCCGGAAUUACUGGGCGUAAAGAGCUCGUAGGUGGUUUGUCGCGUCGUCUGUGAAAUUCCGGGGCUUAACUCCGGGCGUGCAGGCGAUACGGGCAUAACUUGAGUACUGUAGGGGAGACUGGAAUUCCUGGUGUAGCGGUGAAAUGCGCAGAUAUCAGGAGGAACACCGGUGGCGAAGGCGGGUCGCUGGGCAGUAACUGACGCUGAGGAGCGAAAGCAUGGGUAGCGAACAGGAUUAGAUACCCUGGUAGUCCAUGCCGUAAACGGUGGGCGCUAGGUGUAGGGGUCUUCCACGACUUCUGUGCCGUAGCUAACGCAUUAAGCGCCCCGCCUGGGGAGUACGGCCGCAAGGCUAAAACUCAAAUGAAUUGACGGGG